rnacentral:tRNA from 9 species
GGAGAGUUUGUGUAUCUGGUGAGCACCACAGGCUUCAACCCUGAUUGACGGUUUUUGUGUAAACGCCGUGAGAGGUUCGAUUCCUCUACUCUCUCGCCA